rfam:Nannochloropsis gaditana strain B-31 chromosome 9, whole genome shotgun sequence.
UACUCUUCUUGGCCUUUUGGCUUAGAUCAAGUGUAGUAUCUGUUCUGUAACCAGGAAGACUGGUUACCUUCGCCUACUGGGCGAAGUUUUGUCUUCCGAUUAUUUCUGGACUUGCCAGUGGUAAGGAGCUUGCUCCUCCCGGCUAGGUGUCCUUGGGCUUACACUACCCUCAAGCGAUGCCGAAACCCC